UACGUAGGGUGCAAGCGUUAAUCGGAAUUACUGGGCGUAAAGCGUGCGCAGGCGGCUUUGCAAGACAGAUGUGAAAUCCCCGGGCUUAACCUGGGAACUGCAUUUGUGACUGCAAGGCUGGAGUGCGGCAGAGGGGGAUGUAAUUCCGCGUGUAGCAGUGAAAUGCGUAGAUAUGCGGAGGAACACCGAUGGCGAAGGCAAUCCCCUGGGCCUGCACUGACGCUCAUGCACGAAAGCGUGGGGAGCAAACAGG
rnacentral:rRNA from 1 species